GGGGGGGGGGGGCGGGGGGCGUGGGGCGUGCGGGGCGAGCGGGGGGGGCCGGGCUGGCGCGGGGGGGGGAGUGGCGCACGGGGGAGUGAUAUAUAGUUAAUCUGCCCUACACAGAGGAACAACAGUUGGAAACGACUGCUAAUACCUCAUACUCCUAUUUGACAUAAGUUAAAUAGGGAAAGUCUUUUCGGUGUAGGAUGAGACUAUAUCGUAUCAGCUAGUUGGUAAGGUAAUGGCUUACCAAGGCUAUGACGCGUAACUGGUCUGAGAGGAUGAUCAGUCACAUUGGAACUGAGACACGGUCCAAACUCCUACGGGAGGCAGCAGUAAGGAAUAUUGCGCAAUGGGGGAAACCCUGACGCAGCAACGCCGCGUGGAGGAUGACACUUUUCGGAGCGUAAACUCCUUUUAUCAGGAAAGAAUAAUGACGGUACCUGAUGAAUAAGCACCGGCUAACUCCGUG
rnacentral:rRNA from 1 species